GCCAGGAAUGUUUUGCACCUGGCGCGACCACUCGAUAUCCGAGAGUCCGCACUCUCGCAGCACAGGUGUGGCGCCCGCGCUUGCGUAGCGACGGCAGAGCCGCCAUGUUGGAUCGGCGGCGGCAGUGACGUUUCCCCAAGGGUGCCGGAUUCGAAAAUCUCAACGGUGCUCGCGGUGGUGCGCGUUCGACUCUCGUUGAGCACGUGCGGGCGUGUCUCCGGACAAGAUGUCGGACUGGAGCCAGCUUUCGCUGGGCCGCAAGGCGGGCUACGCCUUCGCCGCCCUCAGCCUGGUGCUCGUGUUCAUCGCCUUCGCGACGCCCUACUGGCUGGCGUCCGACCCGCGCAUUUACAGUGCCCAGUUGCUCAGGCUCGGACUGUGGGAAGCCUGCUUCCGAAGCUUCUCCAACCCGAAUGACUUGAAUAUGGAGAAGUUCUACGUGGGUUGUCGAUGGGUGCUCACGUACGAAUACAACACCCUCAGAGACUUCAUCGAAACCCCCUUCUUCGUGGCGGUGCAAGUCUUCUUCACCAUUGGCUUCACGGUGCUGCUCCUGGCAUGCGUCGUCCUGCUGGCCAUGCACAUCUGCCUGCCUGCCGCCAGGGCCUUCCAAAUGCUCAAGGUGGUCAUCGCAUUACUGAUCGCCUCAG